UUGAACGCUGGCGGAAUGCUUUACACAUGCAAGUCGAGCGGCAGCGCGGGGCAACCUGGCGGCGAGCGGCGAACGGGUGAGUAAUAUAUCGGAACGUACCCUGUCGUGGGGGAUAACACAUCGAAAGAUGUGCUAAUACCGCAUACGACCUGAGGGUGAAAGCGGGGGAUCGCAAGACCUCGCGCGAUAGGAGCGGCCGAUGUCAGAUUAGGUAGUUGGUGGGGUAAAGGCUCACCAAGCCGACGAUCUGUAGCUGGUCUGAGAGGACGACCAGCCACACUGGGACUGAGACACGGCCCAGACUCCUACGGGAGGCAGCAGUGGGGAAUUUUGGACAAUGGGGGCAACCCUGAUCCAGCCAUGCCGCGUGCGGGAAGAAGGCCUUCGGGUUGUAAACCGCUUUCGGACGGAAAGAAAUCGCAUGGACUAAUACUCUGUGUGGAUGACGGUACCGUAAGAAGAAGCACCGGCUAACUACGU
rnacentral:rRNA from 1 species